rnacentral:rRNA from 1 species
GAUGAACGCUGGCGGCGUGCCUAAUACAUGCAAGUCGAGCGAACAGACGAGGAGCUUGCUUCUCUGACGUUAGCGGCGGACGGGUGAGUAACACGUGGAUAACCUACCUAUAAGACUGGGAUAACUUCGGGAAACCGGAGCUAAUACCGGAUAAUAUAUUUAACCGCAUGGUUCAAUAGUGAAAGACGGUUUUGCUGUCACUUAUAGAUGGAUCCGCGCCGCAUUAGCUAGUUGGUAAGGUAACGGCUUACCAAGGCGACGAUGCGUAGCCGACCUGAGAGGGUGAUCGGCCACACUGGAACUGAGACACGGUCCAGACUCCUACGGGAGGCAGCAGUAGGGAAUCUUCCGCAAUGGGCGAAAGCCUGACGGAGCAACGCCGCGUGAGGGAUGAAGGUCUUCGGAUCGUAAAACUCUGUUAUUAGGGAAGAACAAAUGUGUAAGUAACUAUGCACGUCUUGACGGUACCUAAUCAGAAAGCCACGGCUAACUACGUG